CCGGGCGCCCAGGAGGCCCGGUCUCUCCAGGGCGGGCCUCGCUUAAGUUCUUCUUGGCCGCCUCCAGCUCGCUCACAAAGGUCGCCAUUGCUCCGCGUGUCUCAGCCCGACCGCAGACCGCCCGGCCACCGCGAUCAACAACCCAAAAACCAACUCGGCGGAAGGCCUUGGCUCUGGAAGCUAAGCCGGCCGCCGUCAGUCCCGCCCCCAAUCUCUCAGAAGUCGUUUGUUUGGUUUUCGGCUCCGCCCGCCUUUUCGCAGGGAAGGUGCCCGGCCAAACUCUGCUCUCUUCCUCCCGCCCCUCGAGUCACGUGAUCCGCUUCACCUUGUCGCGCGCCCAUCCUAAACCCGCGCGCCCCGCCUCGGCUGCAACGUUGCUGACAGGCUGGCGUGUCCCAAGCUCUUUCAUUCUGUUACCGCUGGGGCAAUUCCGAAUUCAGC
rnacentral:lncRNA from 1 species